GAGGGUAUAGCUCAAGUGGUAGAGCCCCAUGCUUAGCAUGCGUGAGGUCUUGAGUUCAAUCCCCAGUACCUCCA
rnacentral:tRNA from 1 species